rnacentral:lncRNA from 1 species
GAGGAAGAGCUGUUUUUCUGUUCCAAGUCCAGCACUUCCACCCUUGCCUGUCUACUUCACUGGACUUUCUUCCAACAACUCCUCCUCUUUACCCCUCCCCAGCUUCUGUCUCCCUGUCCACUAGCUCCUCUUCCUCAACCUACAAACAUGCUCAAAUUCCUUUCAGUCAAAAAAUAAACUUCUCUUCUAUACUACCUUGAACCUAGUUACUGCCAUCUAGUCUGUCAAACUUCCAUGUGCUCUCAUACUACCCUGUUUUAGUACUGAUUCUGUCACAUUGUAAUUGUUUAUUUCCUUGUUUUCCUUCUAUAUCAGACUGUAAGCUUCUGAGAAAUCUGUCUCUUGAUCCUGGUUGAUUCACCGAAGCCCAAGCUAGUUCCUAGUGCAUCGUACGCAUUCAGUAAAUAUUUUUUGAAUGAAUGAACAAUGUUAGAGCCAUGCCUCUGCCAUUCACUUUGUGAACUACCUGUAAUUUUUUUCUACCCCUACAUUUCGGUUGAAAGUUCACUUGAAGGUCACCACAUAAAUGUGAAAUCUAGUGGCUUCUCUCUUUACAUCAUGCUUGACCUCUGCAACCAUUAGUGCUUACAAAUUUACCUUUUCCACACAUUCAUGGUCACGUAUACCUGGGUCAUUUUGGGCCAGUCUCAGUAUUGCAUUCAAAAGAAGCAGACAAGCCCCGAACCUUUGGAAAGUAAUGAACUUCUGUAAUAUAUUAGUGAAAUCUUCUAAUGAGAUAGAAAUAUACAAUUACAUAAAGCUCAGCAAACUUCAAAUAAGUUCUUUUUACCCACCUUCCCAUAUCCUUACACAGCUUGGCACCUUCAAUCUCUCUUUUGUAACAGUUCACCCAAAACUUGUACACUUUUGGCCAAAAACCCCUUGUCCUUUGUCCCCUUUUUUCAUCUUCUAUGUUUAUUUUCUUCCAAGAAUAGAUUAUUCUUUCCAGUUUAAAUCACUUUAGCCUCUUUUGGCUCCUUCCAACCAAGUUCUUUCCUAAACCAGUUAUCUUACUCAGUAUUUUAGAAGUCCAGGAGCAUUGUCUUGAUUUCAUUUGGUUUGCCCUUACCAACUUUCUUUGCAUCAUUUUAUUUAAUCUUAAUGCCUCACAUCAGUGAGUAUUCCCUGACCUCCUGGGUGUCUCCCUUCUGUGUCUCUGUGGUGCCCCGUUUAUAACUCUCUGGAAAUAAUCUAUUUCUAUCUCUUCUCUAGGCUAUACAUUUCUUAAGGGUAGGAGUCCUGUCUUUUUUUUGUACCCCCAUAUCUAGCAUAGUACCUGGAACAUGGUGGGUGUUGAUAAAUGUUUAUUGGACUGAUGCUUCUGUGAAAUUUAAUACUUUCUCUUUUGCCACUGGCUUUUGUUUUGUUACUAGGUCUUCAAAUAUGGAUUAAGGUUUCCUUAAUGUCUUUUUUUCUUUUUAUAUACUCUUAGUGAUUCCUCUAUUCCCGAGGUAUCACUUAUCACUUCCAUAAAGAUGACUCCAGGUCCGUUUUCUAGUCUGGCUGUUCUCCUUAUUAUAAGACCAUUUGUUUUCAAAGUUGAAUGUCAGACAUCUCCACAUGAAUGUGUCACCAGUAUCUUAAAUGCAACAAAAAACUCAGUAAUCCAAACUUAUCUUCCUUUUAAAAUUUCUUCCUAUGUGCUCCAUGUCUCAGUUGUUCUAACCCCUACCCUUCCGGUUACCUAUGCUAGUUGGAAUCCUGGCAAAUGCCUUAACUUCUUUCUUUUAUACUCUCCCUAAUCUGUGAUCAAUGCCUAUCCAUCCUGCCUCUGAAUGUUUUUCACGUUUGCUUCCCCUUCCCAUCUCCACUUUUAGUAGUUUUGUUAUCACUUACCUUCACUAUUGCAGUAGUCUCUUAACUGACCUCUUUUCUAAUCUGUCUUCCGUGCUGUUGUUAGAAAUAUCUUCCUAAAACACAGAUCUGUUGUUACUGUAUGUUCAUCGCUUGACUAAUUUACUUAUCUUUCAGGUCUCUGCCAAAUGUCACUUCUAAAUAAAGUAUGUCUGUCUUCUUUGUUGUUUGUUUCAUGUUCCUUUCCUACUGUCAUCUAAUACUGUUUGUAAUUGUGUUUAUAUUUGUGCAUUGAUUUGUUUAAUGUCUUUCUUCCCACUGGAGAGAUUUAUGUAAGGGACUGGGGAGAGUUAUGUAGACCCUGGGCCUAGCACAAUGCUCGGGACAUAGUAACACUUAAAACAUAUCUGUUGAAUGAGUGGAUGGAUAAUAGCAAAGUACAGGCAGUGCAGGCAAACAGAUACCAAGUAGCAAAGGCAGGGAAAUUACAGGGUCCUAGACUCUUAGUACAUUCUCACAGACCUUAAUCUGUAGUUUAAAAUAGUAAUGGGCUUCUCUCUUUUGCUUUUUGCAUUUAUUUCCCUAAGGAUGAGAGUGAACAACUUACUACCCCACACUGACACUUCAGUGAGGGCACUGUGGAACCUUUCUAAUCAGAAGAUGGGACCAGGCUUGACAAUGAUUCAAUCAAAGCAGUUUUAGUGUCACACUUGUCUCAUGGAGGCUAUUUGUAUUUCUGAAGAAAUUCCAAUCAAAUAACAGCUUACUAGAUUUUUUUCCUGGUCUAAAUAUUAUUUUUGGGCAUUUUCCACAAAAAGCUUUUUGGGAAAGGUGGUUCUUACACUGGGGCUUGGAAUAAUUGUAUCUCUAUGCUUGGCCUUGGAAUAAUUCUGUCUCUGUUGGAAUUGUGCACACGUUGAGGCCUGAGGCCUUAUCUUUUAUAGGGCCUUCACUAUGUAGCUUCUCAUAUAUUCAGCAUCUUAGGAGAGAAUCAUAUUCAACAUAGUUUUGCUUUAAGCUUUUUACUUGGUAUCAGCAGUUUUGCCUUAAGUUCUAAAGCUUAAUAAUGAAACUCUGUUGAAUGAGAACCUUUCCAAAAGAUAUACUUUUCUACAUAAGCUGAGUUUAUUCAUCCAGAGUCAUCAAGAAUAGAUUAUAUUUAGAACAUAUGGAAUGAAUAAAUAUUAGUGAAUUCAUCUUUAUUGGACUUUUAAAUUUCUUUACAUAUAAUUCCAUUCACUCAUUUAUUCAGCCAUCUACACUUGAGCAACUACUUUAUGCCAAGGACUGUAGUAAACAUUUAGGAUCUGAAGAAAAAUAUGACUUGAUUACUCUUAAGAAUUUUAUAAGUCUAGGCUUUUUUUCAUGUCUGAGGCCAGAUUGAUUUUUCUUUUCCUUUUUUUCACUCAGGAUGAAGUACAUAGUGGUAUAAUCCUAGUUGACUGCAGCCUCGAACUCCUGGGCUCAGGUGAUUCUCCUUCCUCAGCUUCCUGAGUAGCUGGGAUACAAGCCUGUACCACCACACCUUGCUAAUUUUUAUUAUUUAUUUUCUGUAGAGAUGAGGUCUCUCUAUGUUGCUCAGGCUGGUGUCGAAUCCUGGCCUCAAGCAAUCCUCCUGACUUGGCUUCACAAAGCGAUGGGAUUACAGGCAUGCACCACCACACCUGGCCUUAGAGUGAUUUUUCUUAAGUGCAAAUUCGUGCUCUUUUUUCUAAGGCCUCAGCUUGGAAUGUCCUCUUGUAUUACCCACCUCUCUUCUUUCAGGACUCAUCUCUUAGGAACCUUCCCUGUCCAAGGCAGCUGAGUACCCUUCAGUAUACUCAUCCUACCCUCUCCCUCUCCUGUUGUGGCAGUUAGUACCAUGUUUUGUAACUACCUGUUUAUUUGGGUCUCCCCAACUAGACUGAAAAAGGCGCUUGAAGGCAGGGCUGUUUCCGUCCUUGUGUCCUGAGUGCUGAGCACAAUACUGAGUACAGUUUGUGACCUAUAGAAUUUGUGGAGGGAAGGCAUUUUGGAUGGAGGCUGUUGGUUAAGUGACCUGCAAAACUGCUCCAGUAUCAUGCCAGGAUCAGUCUUCUUUGCUCAUUAUUGAUGAGAAGCAACACUAACUUAUGUCUUUAUUCCUAACUUAAUUAUACUCCAAGUACACAUUUGCAUGCUUCAUUACAUGCCUGUAGUGAUAUCAGUGACACUGAUAAAGUAUUUUUUCAUAUUUUAGUUCUCAUGUUUUUGACUCUUUAUUUUAACUUUGUUGUUGAUUGAAUUGAGUAUUUGAGUUGCUGUUAGUAUAAAUAAAGUUUCCAUCUUGGAUGACUUACCAUGUUAACAAAAAAAAAAUCACAAGCAGUAUUAUGUGCUAGUGAUACCUUGUGAUUUAAAAUGUAUUUUGUUCCAGCAAAGAACCAGUUUGGGUCUCUUUGGAGAAUGGGCAUACAUCUGAGUUGACCUCAACUUUUCUGUAGGAGAGAUUAUUGAAUCUCCUAUAAAGGAUUAUAUGUAAAUAUAUAAAUUAACAUUUGUCUGUUUUACAAAAUAGAGUGUCUGAAACAAGAAUACAUAAAAUGUUAUUUUCAAUGUACUAGAGUAGAGGAGUUUGGUAUUUAAAGGAGUUCUGUACUUUGGUAAAGCCAAAAUUCCUUUGAUUACACUAGUGGUUGGUUAUUUAAUCAGGAUGUGAAUUCAAAUUGCCUACAAAAUUUUGAAAAAAUGCAGAUGUUUGGCUGACUCCACAUCUAUCAGAUUGCAAUUUCUAGUGGUAGUGUCCAAGCUCCUAUAUAUUUUGUACCAACUACCUGGGUAAUUUGAUGGGUUUUCAGAACUACUCAACUAUAUAAACCAAAGAACCUCAAACCUUAACAUAUAUAUGAUCAUGUGGGACCUUGUUAAAAUGCAGAUUCUGAGUCAGGAGCUCUGGGUGUGACCUGAGAUUUUCCAGUUCCAGCGAGCUCCAUGUGAUGUCCGUGCUGAUGGUGUGUGAUCCACACUUUGAACAAUAAGGCUAUAAAUAAUAACCAUCUACAUUUUAAAAGAUUUCCUUUUUUUUUUUCAUUUAAGUGUGGUGUAUCUGUUUCCUACUCUUGCUUAUUCUAUAAGAGAAGUGUAAUGGGCUUUAGAUCCAGUCUAAAAUAGUUUUGGUUUGGAUAUUGUCUUCCAUUAAAGUUUCAGUACGCAGAGGA